GUGUUGGUUUCAACAGGUAAAUGUAAAUAUCAUUGUGUUGUAUAUUUCUCCGCGAGCAUGAUGUGAGGCCUUUUUAAAGGGUAUUUCCCCCAAUAUUUAAAUCAAAUAAAUAACCUUAACGCAUUAAACAACAAUUGAAAAUGUUUUUUUUAGAUUGCAGUAUAAAGACAAUAAUAGUGCAUUGACUUGACAUAUCAACGAUAUAAGGAUUCGUCCCGAAACGGGGAAAUAGCUCGGCACAGCCUCGCAUUUCCCCGUUUCUAAGCCUCAUCCUUAUAUCGUUGAUAUGUCAAGUCAAUGCAUUAUUAUUGUCUAUUUCUC
rnacentral:lncRNA from 1 species